rnacentral:rRNA from 1 species
UGGGGAAUUUUGGACAAUGGGGGAAACCCUGAUCCAGCCAUCCCGCGUGUGCGAUGAAGGCCUUCGGGUUGUAAAGCACUUUUGGCAGGAAAGAAACGUCGCGGGUUAAUACCCCGCGGAACUGACGGUACCUGCAGAAUAAGCACCGGCUAACUACGUGCCAGCAGCCGCGGUAAUACGUAGGGUGCAAGCGUUAAUCGGAAUUACUGGGCGUAAAGCGUGCGUAGGCGGUUCGGAAAGAAAGAUGUGAAAUCCCAGAGCUUAACUUUGGAACUGCAUUUUUAACUACCGGGCUAGAGUGUGUCAGAGGGAGGUGGAAUUCCGCGUGUAGCAGUGAAAUGCGUAGAUAUGCGGAGGAACACCGAUGGCGAAGGCAGCCUCCUGGGAUAACACUGACGCUCAUGCACGAAAGCGUGGGGAGCAAACAGGAUUAGAUACCCUGGUAGUCCACGCCCUAAACGAUGUCAACUAGCUGUUGGGGUCUUCGGACCUUGGUAGCGCAGCUAACGCGUGAAGUUGACCGCCUGGGGAGUACGGUCGCAAGAUUAAAACUCAAAUGAAUUGACGGGGUC